rnacentral:rRNA from 1 species
GGGUGCCUACGGGACGCAGCAGUGAGGAAUAUUGGUCAAUGGUCGGGAGACUGAACCAGCCAAGCCGCGUGAGGGAUGAAGGUACAGAGUAUCGUAAACCUCUUUUGUCAGGGAACAAAGGCGGGGACGUGUCCCCGGAUGAGUGUACCUGAAGAAAAAGCAUCGGCUAACUCCGUGCCAGCAGCCGCGGUAAUACGGAGGAUGCGAGCGUUAUCCGGAUUUACUGGGGGUAAAGGGAGCGUAGACGGUGCAGCAAGUCUGAUGUGAAAGGUCGGGGCCCAACCCCGGGACUGCAUUGGAAACUG